GUAUACAAUAAUACCAGCAACAACACCCGAUCUCAAAAAUGUUAGCAAAAACAAACUAAAAGAUCAUAACAGAUCUAAUCCAAUUGAAUCAAUAUAUUCAUAUGCUAAUCACAAUAAACACUCAUAUGCUGACCUCGCGACACCAUAGUCAGUACACAAUCAAUAGUAGAGUAUUAUAAUUCAAAAUGUAUUUCAUUAAGUAGGGAGCCUAAUAUGUUACUUCACAUAUCAGCCCACUACUACUGUAAUAAGACUUCACAAGUGAUUUGAACCAUUUCUCCAUAUGAUACACAGACCAAUAGUAUAUAAAUUAAUAUUUUUGGUGCGGCAGAAAACACAAUUUCGAAUUCAAGUUCAAAUCGAUAUAAAUUCAACAUUAGUAAAUGGAGCCAUUAACGAA
rnacentral:lncRNA from 1 species